rnacentral:rRNA from 1 species
AUUGAACGCUGGCGGCAGGCCUAACACAUGCAAGUCGAACGGUAACAGGAAGAAGCUUGCUUCUUUGCUGACGAGUGGCGGACGGGUGAGUAAUGUCUGGGAAACUACCUGAUGGAGGGGGAUAACUACUGGAAACGGUAGCUAAUACCGCAUAACGUCGCAAGACCAAAGAGGGGGACCUUCGGGCCUCUUGCCAUCGGAUGUGCCCAGAUGGGAUUAGCUAGUAGGUGGGGUAACGGCUCACCUAGGCGACGAUCCCUAGCUGGUCUGAGAGGAUGACCAGCCACACUGGAACUGAGACACGGUCCAGACUCCUACGGGAGGCAGCAGUGGGGAAUAUUGCACAAUGGGCGCAAGCCUGAUGCAGCCAUGCCGCGUGUAUGAAGAAGGCCUUCGGGUUGUAAAGUACCUUCAGCGGGGAGGAAGGGAGUAAAGUUAAUACCUUUGCUCAUUGACGUUACCCGCAGAAGAAGCACCGGCUAACUCCGUGCCAGCAGCCGCGGUAAUACGGAGGGUGCAAGCGUUAAUCGGAAUUACUGGGCGUAAAGCGCACGCAGGCGGUUUGUUAAGUCAGAUGUGAAAUCCCCGGGCUCAACCUGGGAACUGCAUCUGAUACUGGCAAGCUUGAGUCUCGUAGAGGGGGGUAGAAUUCCAGGUGUAGCGGUGAAAUGCGUAGAGAUCUGGAGGAAUACCGGUGGCGAAGGCGGCCCCCUGGACGAAGACUGACGCUCAGGUGCGAAAGCGUGGGGGAGCAAACAGGAUUAGAUACCCUGGUAGUCCACGCCGUAAACGAUGUCGACUUGGAGGUUGUGCCCUUGAGGCGUGGCUUCCGGAGCUAACGCGUUAAGUCGACCGCCUGGGGAGUACGGCCGCAAGGUUAAAACUCAAAUGAAUUGACGGGGGCCCGCACAAGCGGUGGAGCAUGUGGUUUAAUUCGAUGCAACGCGAAGAACCUUACCUGGUCUUGACAUCCACAGAACUUUCCAGAGAUGGAUUGGUGCCUUCGGGAACUGUGAGACAGGUGCUGCAUGGCUGUCGUCAGCUCGUGUUGUGAAAUGUUGGGUUAAGUCCCGCAACGAGCGCAACCCUUAUCCUUUGUUGCCAGCGGUCCGGCCGGGAACUCAAAGGAGACUGCCAGUGAUAAACUGGAGGAAGGUGGGGAUGACGUCAAGUCAUCAUGGCCCUUACGACCAGGGCUACACACGUGCUACAAUGGCGCAUACAAAGAGAAGCGACCUCGCGAGAGCAAGCGGACCUCAUAAAGUGCGUCGUAGUCCGGAUUGGAGUCUGCAACUCGACUCCAUGAAGUCGGAAUCGCUAGUAAUCGUGGAUCAGAAUGCCACGGUGAAUACGUUCCCGGGCCU